rnacentral:rRNA from 1 species
GUGCCAGCCGCCGCGGUAAGACGGAGGGUGCUAGCGUUGUUCGGAAUCACUGGGCGUAAAGGGCGCGUAGGCGGCCUUGCAAGUCGGUUGGUGAAAGCCCGGGGCUCAACCCCGGAGGUGCGGCCGAGACUGCAGGGCUGGAGGCCGGAAGAGGAGGGUGGAAUACCCAGUGUAGAGGUGAAAUUCGUAGAUAUUGGGUGGAACACCGGUGGCGAAAGCGGCUCUCUGGUCCGGACCUGACGCUGAGGCGCGAAAGCGUGGGGAGCAAACAGGAUUAGAAACCCUCGUAGUCC